GGGGAAUAUUGCACAAUGGGCGCAAGCCUGAUGCAGCGACGCCGCGUGGGGGAUGACGGCCUUCGGGUUGUAAACCUCUUUCGUCAGGGAAGAAGCCUUUUGGGGUGACGGUACCUGGAGAAGAAGCACCGGCUAACUACGUGCCAGCAGCCGCGGUAAUACGUAGGGUGCGAGCGUUGUCCGGAAUUAUUGGGCGUAAAGAGCUUGUAGGCGGUUUGUCGCGUCUGCGGUGAAAGCCCGGGGCUUAACCUUGGGCGUGCCGUGGGUACGGGCAGGCUAGAGUGUGGUAGGGGAGACUGGAAUUCCUGGUGUAGCGGUGAAAUGCGCAGAUAUCAGGAGGAACACCGAUGGCGAAGGCAGGUCUCUGGGCCAUAACUGACGCUGAGAAGCGAAAGCAUGGGGAGCGAAC
rnacentral:rRNA from 1 species